rnacentral:rRNA from 1 species
GACGAACGCUGACGGCGUGCUUAACACAUGCAAGUCGAACGGAAAGGCCCUGCUUUUGUGGGGUGCUCGAGUGGCGAACGGGUGAGUAACACGUGAGUAACCUGCCCUUGACUUUGGGAUAACUUCAGGAAACUGGGGCUAAUACCGGAUAGGAGCUCCUGCUGCAUGGUGGGGGUUGGAAAGUUUCGGCGGUUGGGGAUGGACUCGCGGCUUAUCAGCUUGUUGGUGGGGUAGUGGCUUACCAAGGCUUUGACGGGUAGCCGGCCUGAGAGGGUGACCGGCCACAUUGGGACUGAGAUACGGCCCAGACUCCUACGGGAGGCAGCAGUGGGGAAUAUUGCACAAUGGGCGGAAGCCUGAUGCAGCAACGCCGCGUGCGGGAUGACGGCCUUCGGGUUGUAAACCGCUUUCGCCUGUGACGAAGCGUGAGUGACGGUAAUGGGUAAAGAAGCACCGGCUAACUACGUGCCAGCAGCCGCGGUGAUACGUAGGGUGCGAGCGUUGUCCGGAUUUAUUGGGCGUAAAGGGCUCGUAGGUGGUUGAUCGCGUCGGAAGUGUAAUCUUGGGGCUUAACCCUGAGCGUGCUUUCGAUACGGGUUGACUUGAGGAAGGUAGGGGAGAAUGGAAUUCCUGGUGGAGCGGUGGAAUGCGCAGAUAUCAGGAGGAACACCAGUGGCGAAGGCGGUUCUCUGGGCCUUUCCUGACGCUGAGGAGCGAAGGCGUGGGGAGCGAACAGGCUUAGAUACCCUGGUAGUCCACGCUGUAAACGGUGGGUACUAGGUGUGGGGUCCAUUCCACGGGUUCCGUGCCGUAGCUAACGCUUUAAGUACCCCGCCUGGGGAGUACGGCCGCAAGGCUAAAACUCAAAGGAAUUGACGGGGCCCCGCACAAGCGGCGGAGCAUGCGGAUUAAUUCGAUGCAACGCGUAGAACCUUACCUGGGUUUGACAUGGAUCGGGAGUGCUCAGAGAUGGGUGUGCCUCUUUUGGGGUCGGUUCACAGGUGGUGCAUGGCUGUCGUCAGCUCGUGUCGUGAGAUGUUGGGUUAAGUCCCGCAACGAGCGCAACCCUUGUUCACUGUUGCCAGCACGUUAUGGUGGGGACUCAGUGGAGACCGCCGGGGUCAACUCGGAGGAAGGUGGGGAUGACGUCAAGUCAUCAUGCCCCUUAUGUCCAGGGCUUCACGCAUGCUACAAUGGCUGGUACAGAGAGUGGCGAGCCUGUGAGGGUGAGCGAAUCUCGGAAAGCCGGUCUCAGUUCGGAUUGGGGUCUGCAACUCGACCUCAUGAAGUCGGAGUCGCUAGUAAUCGCAGAUCAGCAACGCUGCGGUGAAUACGUUCCCGGGGCU